GACAGAGGAUGCAAGCGUUAUCCGGAAUGAUUAGGCGUAAAGCGUCUGUAGGUGGCUUUUCAAGUCCGCCGUCAAAUCCCAGGGCUCAACCCUGGACAGGCGGUGGAAACUACCAAGCUGGAGUACGGUAGGGGCAGAGGGAAUUUCCGGUGGAGCGGUGAAAUGCGCAGAUAUCAGGAGGAACACCGGUGGCGAAGGCGGGUCUCUGGGCAGUAACUGACGCUGAGGAGCGAAAGCGUGGGGAGCAAACAGG
rnacentral:rRNA from 1 species